AGCGAACGCUGGCGGCAGGCCUAACACAUGCAAGUCGAACGCGCUCUUCGGAGCGAGUGGCAGACGGGUGAGUAACGCGUGGGAACGUGCCCUCCGGUUCGGGAUAACCCAGGGAAACUUGGGCUAAUACCGGAUACGUGCUUAUGGCAGAAAGGUUUACUGCCGGAGGAUCGGCCCGCGUCUGAUUAGCUAGUUGGUGGGGUAACGGCCUACCAAGGCUGCGAUCAGUAGCUGGUCUGAGAGGAUGAUCAGCCACACUGGGACUGAGACACGGCCCAGACGCCUACGGGGGGCAGCAGUGGGGAAGAUUGAACAAGGGGCGCAAGCCUGAUCCAGCCAUGCCGCGGGAGUGAUGAAGGCCUUAGGGUUGUAAAGCUCUUUUACCCGGGACGAUAAUGACGGUACCGGGAGAAUAAGCCCCGGCUAACUUGGUGCCAGCCGCCGCUGUAA
rnacentral:rRNA from 1 species